rnacentral:misc_RNA from 1 species
CAAGAAUAUGGCAAACUGUGUGAUGAGAAGACAUGUUUCUCUUGCAACUGUAUACGGGAAGCAAAUUCACAAAUUGUUCGGGGGACACUUUUGAUACCAUGUCGAACAGCAAUGAGAGGGAGCUUUCCCCUCAAUGGCACAUAUUUUCAAGUUAAUGAGGUAUUUGCAGACCAUGAUUCUAGCUUGAAUCCAAUUGAUGUUCCCAGAACUUGGAUAUGGAACCUACCAAGACGAACAGUGUACUUUGGGACAUCAAUACCAACAAUUUUUAAAGGUUUGACAACAGAAGGUAUUCAACACUGUUUUUGGAGAGGAUAUGUUUGUGUGAGAGGAUUCGACCAGAAGACAAGGGCACCUCGCCCUUUGAUAGCCAGGCUGCAUUUCCCAGCCAGCAAGUUAAACAAGGCAAAAGGCAAGAACUCUAAUGAUUCGUAGAUAGUGCCUUAAAAUAACCAACACUUUUUCCGGAAUGAACGGAUGACUAUAUCAGAGUGUUCAGGCAACAAUAACCAAUAGCAUCACAUUCAACGAAUGUAGCUUGUUUUUCAUUGAAAAAAAGAAAAAAAGGGAAAAACUCUAGUUGAGUUGUAUGCUCCCAUGACUGAUGAGGAUGUAACGUGUAUAUGUUUAACAAGACUGUAAUUUUC